rnacentral:rRNA from 1 species
CCUACGGGUGGCUGCAGUGAGGAAUAUUGGUCAAUGGCCGAGAGGCUGAACCAGCCAAGUCGCGUGAGGGAUGACGGCCCUACGGGUUGUAAACCUCUUUUGCCGGGGAGCAAAGAGCGGGACGCGUCCCGCCUCGAGAGUACCCGGAGAAAAAGCAUCGGCUAAUUCCGUGCCAGCCGCCGCGGUAAUACGGAAGGUCCGGGCGGUAUCCGGAGUUAUUGGGUUUAAGGGGAGCGUAGGCGGCCUGCUAAGUCUGGAGUGAAAGGUACCGGCUCAACCGGUACCGGCUCUGGAAACUGGCGGGCUAGAGAGCAGGAGAGGGCGGUGGAACUCCAUGUGUAGCGGUAAAAUGCGUAGAUAUAUGGAAGAACACCAGUGGCGAAGGCGGCCGCCUGGCCUGUUACUGACGCUGAGGCACGAAAGCGUGGGGAGCAAAUAGGAUUAGAUACCCUGGUAGUC